rnacentral:rRNA from 1 species
UAACAUAUCGGAACGUAUCCUUAAGUGGGGGACAACCUAGCGAAAGUUAGGCUAAUACCGCAUACGCAGGGAACUGGAAAGUGGGGGAUCGCAAGACCUCACGCUUUAGGAGCGGCCGAUAUCAGAUUAGCUUGUUGGUGAGGUAAAGGCUCACCAAGGCGACGAUCUGUAGCUGGUCUGAGAGGAUGAUCAGCCACACUGGGACUGAGACACGGCCCAG